UGGACUAUGAGCAGAGCAAGCAGCUGC
rnacentral:piRNA from 1 species